ACCUGAAUGGCUCAGUGGGUAGAGCAUGUGACUCUUGAUCUCGGGAUCGUGAGUUCGAGCCUCACGUUGGGUG